rnacentral:rRNA from 1 species
UGGUGGAGUGAUUUGUCUGGUUAAUUCCGUUAACGAACGAGACCUUAGCCUACUAACUAGUCUAGGGAAUAUUUCAUUCUCGCGACUUCUUAGAGGGACUUUGCAAGCAACUGCAAGGAAGUUUGAGGCAAUAACA